CUUUGAAUUCCUAAGUUAAAAAAAAAUGAUUUCAGUGCAUUAGAGACAACACGACGCUAAGCUUGUUUUACGUGAAUUAUCUCCAACGCAUUGGUCGAACACACGUCACAGAAGAAAAAAAUGUGAAUGAGGAAACCGGAGAACGUUGCAACAAGAACUCGAGUUGGAGGGGCUGUACUCCGAUGCAUACAUCCAAGACACACAGCUUCUUGCCGUGCAAGUGAAUAUGCAAACAAUAUAUCGGCAUCGACACACCUGUCUCAAGCCAUUAUUUGUUCAAAUACGUUUUUAAUGAACCGUAUUUAUUAUACAAUGUCAUUUCAUUUCAAUGUAUCGAUGCAAUAUUAUAUCGAUAUACGAGCAAAGCUUUUUACAUUGUUUCUGGAGGGAAACGUUACUGAAAAUUUUAAGUAAUAUUCGAUUCACUCACUCAUAUUACUCGUUGUAAUCAGGAACAGAUGGUCGAUCCAUUUGGGUGCACUCUUAAUUACUUGUCAAUAACAUUUGCACAAUUUUUAACCCAACCAGACCGCCAAUUUUUUUUUUUUUUUAACAAAAUACCGC